GUGAUUGAUUUUUAUCUGAGAGUAAACUAAAUAUUACUAAAAUUGCUGUAAUUAUUUUAAGAGUUUCACAAGGAGAACACAACUUUUAACAAUAAGACAUUCCCAGUUUUGUGUACCAAGGCAUGACUUUAUUUCUGUCCACAAGUGCUUACGUAGGUCUUGUUCUUUUCUCUGUCAGAAGACAGUGUCUGGGACAAGAAAAAAUUUAGGCUCAAAACAAAUAACAUUGAAGAGUUUAGUGAUUCUCACUUGAAGCACUUUGUGAGCUGAAUCUUCUCUGGAUGGGGAGAAAAACAGGCAAGCUGGAACGGUGUUCUGGGAUCUGUGUGAGUUAAAUCUGCCUGCAAAGAUUUGAGUGCCAGUGCUGGAAACAUGGGAAGGGGUGGAACUGUGGCUUGGAGCAGAGCAGGGAGGAGUUGGGGUGGGGGGUAGAAAGUGAGAUCUUGCCUUUUGGCAGCAGCAGCAGCAAGCAGUUAGAUGUUAUCAGCAGGGUGUUAAAUGCAGCCAGAAUUUCUGCUUCACUGGUGGGGUUGUUUCUGCUCCAUCAUGUGAACUCUCAAUGCAGACAUCCAGUUAGCGAGUUGGACCAGCUUACUGAUCUUGGCUGAAAACUAGUCCUGCCACCAAGUAUGGGAAAACUUCCUCCUGACAAGCAAGGUCAUCCUGCUCUGGCUGCAAGGCUUGCUGCACAUGCAGCUGUGAUGAGAGGCCUGGGGGCAAAGACAAGAGUACUCCCUCACCUUGCCUAGGAGUGCUGGGGCAAGUGGGAAGUGUGGGUCCCAGUUUCACUGUGAGAAGUGCAUUUUGCAUCUUCAGUCUGGUGAUAUGCAAGACCUCACUCAGGUUACAUGCAAAACAUGGUCAGCCAGGCUAGUGUCACCCUGCUGUCCUUCUACUUACCUGGCAGUUCUACAAGAAGACGUCUUACUGUCUUGUUUAGUCACAAAUACACGUUUUUCAGUUUCAGAACUUAAGUAGCAUUUUGAGAAAUUGAGGAAGGUGGGUAUGAUUUUUUAGAGCAAAACUACUUGUACUAGGCACCUGCCUUUUUCUCCUGAAAGAUGGGCAAACCAGUGAAAUAAUAGAGAGCACAUGCUACCUCUGAGAGACUGAGGCUGAGAUAAAGUUAUUUGGUGUGUGUUUUGAUCAGCAAAUAAUUCUCAACAGAAUUAACACACAAGUCUUCCUGGAGCCAGAGUUAAACAUGUAUAAAAGUUUUGGAUGUCUCAAGGGUCUGACCACACCUUUAUGCAAGUAACUGUUCUGUAGUUGAAGGCAGUGCAGAUUACUAUUGUUGUGAUACCAUACAUUUGGGAGCAAAUGAUGUGUGACUACUAAUUCUUGUGUGGUGGCAACUGUUCCUCAGGAAAUGUAUGAACUGGGUUGUGCAGUGCAAGUGCACAGCCAACAGUAUGAUCUUGGUGAAGUGCUGGGGCAUACCAAAGGUGUAGUUUAAAAGAGUGGUGACUGUAACAGACUGUAGGUCAACUCACAAGUGUUUUGGGGAGAGGUGAAAGUUUGAAAUAGUGAUUUGCUACAGUGAUACCUGUAUAGAUAAAUGGAGUUAAGCAGACUUGUAAUUUUGUUUCCUUUGUGGUAUGGGAGGCAAAGUCCUCAAUAUCCACAGGUUAGGUUGGCAAAGAAAAA